rnacentral:rRNA from 1 species
GAUGAACGCUGGCGGCGUGCCUAAUACAUGCAGGUCGAGCGAACAGACGAGGAGCUUGCUCCUCUGACGUUAGCGGCGGACGGGUGAGUAACACGUGGAUAACCUACCUAUAAGACUGGGAUAACUUCGGGAAACCGGAGCUAAUACCGGAUAAUAUAUUGAACCGCAUGGUUCAAUAGUGAAAGACGGUUUUGCUGUCACUUAUAGAUGGAUCCGCGCCGCAUUAGCUAGUUGGUAAGGUAACGGCUUACCAAGGCGACGAUGCGUAGCCGACCUGAGAGGGUGAUCGGCCACACUGGAACUGAGACACGGUCAAGACUCCGACGGGAGGCAGCAGUAGGGAAUCUUCCGCAAUGGGCGAAAGCCUGACGGAGCAACGCCGCGUGAGUGAUGAAGGUCUUCGGAUCGUAAAACUCUGUUAUUAGGGAAGAACAAAUGUGUAAGUAACUAUGCACGUCUUGACGGUACCUAAUCAGAAAGCCACGGCUAACUACGUG